UUACGGGAGGCAGCAAGCGGGAAUAUUGCACAAUGGGGGAAACCCUGAUGCAGCAAUGCCGCGUGAGGGAUGACGGCCUUCGGGUUGUAAACCUCUGUCAGCAGGGACGAUAAUGACGGUACCUGUUGAGGAAGCUCCGGCUAACUCCGUGCCAGCAGCCGCGGUAAGACGGAGGGAGCAAGCGUUGUCCGGAUUUACUGGGCGUAAAGAGCGCGUAGGCGGCCUGUUAAGUCGGCUGUGAAAUUGCGGGGCUUAACUCCGCAACUGCAGUCGAUACUGGCGGGCUCGAGUUCGGGAGAGGGAAGUGGAAUUCCUGGUGUAGCGGUGGAAUGCGUAGAUAUCAGGAAGAACACCGGUGGCGAAGGCGGCUUCCUGGACCGAUACUGACGCUGAGGCGCGAAAGCUAGGGGAGCGAACGGGAUUAGAUACCCCGGUAGUCC
rnacentral:rRNA from 1 species